rnacentral:rRNA from 1 species
GACGAACGCUGGCGGCGUGCUUAACACAUGCAAGUCGAGCGAGGCCCUUCCUUCGGGAAGGUGCCCUAGCGGCGAACGGGUGAGUAACACGUGGGCAACCUGCCCCUAGCACUGGGAUAACCCCGGGAAACCGGGGCUAAUACCGGAUACGACCUCGAAGGGCAUCUUUCGAGGUGGAAAAAUUUAUUGGCUAGGGAUGGGCCCGCGGCCUAUCAGCUUGUUGGUGGGGUAACGCCCACCAAGGCGUCGACGGGUAGCCGGCCUGAGAGGGCGACCGGCCACACUGGGACUGAGACACGGCCCAGACUCCUACGGGAGGCAGCAGUGGGGAAUAUUGCACAAUGGGCGAAAGCCUGAUGCAGCGACGCCGCGUGAGGGAUGACUGCCUUCGGGUUGUAAACCCCUUUCAGCAGGGACGAAGCGAAAGUGACGGUA